CCUCCUCUGGGGGGCUCUCUGGUACUUCUUGUGGCUCUUCCUCCUUGAGAGCCACUUCAGAGGGUGACUGCUGGCAGAGACAGGACCCCAGAGGUGGUGGCAGUGGUGGUGGGGAGAGGGGAGAAAGAGAGCAGCCCAAAAUGAGACAGGCAGGAACCCAGAAAGCAAACUCUCCUGCCCACAUUGAGUCGCUAGCCAGGGAAGCCCUACAGCCCUGGUGCCAUGGGGGGCUGGUCCAUCAGGACAAGUGGGGCAGCAAGCAUACCCUUAGCAGCCCCCUGCCUGCCUGCCCCCUUGCUCACGACCAGUCCAGAAGGUGGCCUGACCGGCCAGCCGGCUUCCUCCUCCUCCCCAGCGUCAGGGUUGCCCAGCUCAGCAGGGCUUCCCUCCUGCUCUGCCUGCUACAUACCUCAUUGAGUCCCAAAGGGAAUCCAGGGAGGACAGGGAGGAAACACUAGAAAAUGGUGACAUACUUGGAACCUGCAAGGAAAAGAUGCAAAAAACGAGCAAUUAAAAAACGCAACCAAACAUUAAAACUCAAGGCACCCAUAACUGAAACAAUAGUUUCAUCCUGCGGUUGAUAUGCCCCCCUCCCCUUCUGCCAAUCACCGCUUAGGCCACGGCCAGCUACCCAGUCAGGGCUGAGGAGAUCCAGCCGUCUUGGGGUCUCCUCCCUUGCCUUUGCCUUUGUCCUCCUUGCUAGCUGGGAGGAGGGGCGAGAAUGUGUGGCAUCAGCCCUGCAGGCAGGUCUCUGCCCCAAGGAAGCUACAGUCGGAGUCGCUCUCGUAGGCUUCGUAGUUGAAGCUCAGGGGGCUGUCCAAGCCGGCGUCUCUCUGGGGAGCAAGGAUUUUCUUCCAGCUUGGGGUCUUCCAGUACACAACGUCAGAGUCCCCGAUAUCCAACUGGCUGGUUGAAACGCUGAUACAGCUACCGCAAAGCAUUGUUGGGUUAAUUUGUACAUCGCUUAAUCAUGUGCCCCGGCCCCCAAACUCUUACCUCCGCACCCCCCUUCCUCUGCCACUGCAACAGAAUAAAAGAAGGACUUAAUGGAGAAGCAA